AUUGAACGCUGGCGGCAGGCCUAACACAUGCAAGUCGAGCGGAUGAAGGGAGCUUGCUCCUGGCUUCAGCGGCGGACGGGUGAGUAAUGCCCAGGAAUCUGCCUGGCCGUGGGGGAUAACGUCCGGAAACGGGAGCUAAUACCGCAUACGUCCUGAUGGAGAAAGUGGGGGAUCUUCGGACCUCACGCUAUCAGAUGAGCCUAGGUCGGAUUAGCUAGUUGGUGGGGUAAAGGCCUACCAAGGCGACGAUCCGUAACUGGUCUGAGAGGAUGAUCAGUCACACUGGAACUGAGACACGGUCCAGACUCCUACGGGAGGCAGCAGUGGGGAAUAUUGGGCAAUGGGCGAAAGCCUGAUCCAGCCAUGCCGCGUGUGUGGUGAAGGUCUUCGGAUUGUAAAGCACUGUAAGUUGGGAGGAAGGGCAGUAAGUUAAUACCUUGCUGUCUUGACGUUACCAACAGAAUAAGCACCGGCUAACUUCGUG
rnacentral:rRNA from 1 species